rnacentral:rRNA from 1 species
UAUGUAGGGGGCUAGCGUUAUCCGGAAUUACUGGGCGUAAAGGGUGCGUAGGUGGUUUCUUAAGUCAGAGGUGAAAGGCUACGGCUCAACCGUAGUAAGCCUUUGAAACUGGGAAACUUGAGUGCAGGAGAGGAGAGUGGAAUUCCUAGUGUAGCGGUGAAAUGCGUAGAUAUUAGGAGGAACACCAGUUGCGAAGGCGGCUCUCUGGACUGUAACUGACACUGAGGCACGAAAGCGUGGGGAGCAAACAGGAUUAGAUACCCCCGUAGUCCCUGAGCGGG